UUGUAUUUUGCGGAGCUCUUUCUUACCGAGCCUUUCUCUAUUUUAGUGUUUUGCUGGGACCAAAGGAUUUGGGCACAGACUGGUGGUGUCUCAGUGGAUAUCGCCUCUGAGGGGGACAGACAGAUGGACAUGGAGGCCCUCCCAGAGGAAGACCCACAGGACGUGAUCUCUGUUCAGCAACACUGAGAUUCCCUGAUGGGGAGUGUGGAUUCAGAGUUCUCCUGCACCCUUGAGGAAUCCUUGUGAUAGCCCUGUGUGUAUAUCACCCUCCCCUGGUCUUGA
rnacentral:lncRNA from 1 species